rnacentral:rRNA from 1 species
GAGAGCAGAGGGAAGGAUCCUGCGUCGGCGGGUGGUUUAGUUUAGGGCAGCGGCCCGAGCAGACGGAGCGGCACCGGCUACUUACGCAGCCGACGCCGGUGCGGGGGAGAGGUUUGCCGCCGCUACUACCUCCCUCGUCGAGUGCGACCGGUCCGAGGGCUGGCUUGCGCAGCCCAGUAGAGAGGAGCCCCGGUUGGGGAGGAUAAGUAGCGUAGAGAGGGACUGAGGCAGAGGAGGUGCUCUACAUCGUGGUGGGGUGCGGUACCUGCGGGAACGGCCGACGUAGAGAGGUACGCGGCGGUGAGGAUACUGUGGCGGCGGGCCGUCAGAGGUGGUCGUGGUGCUGCCCGCACCGGAGACGUGCACGGCAGUGGAGGGGAGGUCUAGGCCGGUAGCAGCUCCCGUAUAGGUAGGUCGUCACGCGGCAGUGGAGGGGAGGUCUAGGUCGGCAGCAGUUCCCGAAUAGGUAGGUCGUCGCACAGCAGUAGGGUUAGUAGUGGCAGGUGCCGCAGUAGCGGGUCCGGGUCAGUCCCCGGCCGUUCUGGAGGUACUAGAGGGAGAAGCAGACGGUCCAGUAACUCUGGUUGCAGGUGCUAAGUCACACCAUUAGAUGUCGUUAGUUCAAUUGUUUAGACUUCGUAAAAUCGUUCCGUUGCCACGUUCACGAGAAAACCACCUUCUACUUCGAAAACAACCCGAACACUACAAAAAGACUUCUUCUGACUGCUACUUGAGUUUUCUGUCUAUUGUACGCCAACGAUGAUGCCCUUAUGGACUACAACGAAGUAUAAUCAAUAUAGAAGGUUAUAAAUGUCUUUGAAGGCUUUGACCGUGGUCCAGUCCUGUACGACUACUAUUGGAAGGUCAAAACGAUUUAGUAUCAAUGAACUCAUUAGAGAUGAGGAUUUCACAAGAAGCUUCCACGAGUAGUUUAGACAACUAUGUGUUGUGGCGUCAAUAACUACCAAAUGUGACCUAUCAAAGGUCUGGAAAUAGCGUUCUACCUGCUUGAACCGUAGAGUCGGUCAUGAGACGGAGUAGUUGUCAAACUACAGGGAAACGUACUUCAAUCCGGUCGUAGUCUUAUAGGCAUCGGAAAAAAUCCUCUACUUCCACUUCUAAUAAUUCGGCCUAUUGGAGUGUACAAAGGAAGAUUACUCGUCGGCACGCAGUAACUUGUUCUAUCUACAACAACCUCUUCAAAAUCUUCUUUACGUUCUUUUACCACAUCAAGAUCCCACCAUACGUAUAUCGUACCAAAGAUAGAAGGACUCACGACCAAACCAAAAUUUUUUGUCAGGCGAGAGUUCUUUGAGCUCCCGGAACUAAAAUCUUCACGUACGGGGGACUGGGCACCCUGCUGCCGUGCCUCCGUUAACGUAUUGGGUCGCCGUCCCGCACCGCCGCAACACCGGUCACUCCUCGCGGCAAUCCCGCACGGGACUUAGCUCUCCUUGUUCUACACAUGCACUACACGGGACGGCGACACACACGAAGGACGAUUACACACACGAAGGACUGCGUCAACUCGUACGCGCGCACACAAGCGACAGCGACAAAUAAUUGUAACAGUACGAGAGGAAUGAAAAACGAAUUGUUAAGUACUAGUUAUGACUUGUAAUAAAAAACUUAUCUACGGUGAACUUGAAUCAAAAUCGAGAGUACAACAAGUUACUUAGUAGUUCAUUACAAAACGUACCUAAAAUAUUGAUUGUGUUACAAAGACUAAAUUACUCUCGGUUGGUACGCAAGGACCGAAGGGGCCGCUACGGUUGUACCGUACCGUCCUGGGUCACCGGUAGAAGCCGCGGAAGUACCUGAAGCAGUCGCGGCUGGAGACGAAGUAGUAGAUGCCGGUGCUGGGGAAACGGCAGCCGUAGUAGACCGUGGAACCUCACGUUUAAUUUACACAAGUACCUCACCCCACAUUAACACUAAACACGUUACCCAAAUCUCACCUUCCCCGACAGUAAGAACAAAUCGUCCCCGACGUUCAAGAUAGAGAUAUUCGGACUGAACGUCGCCGUUGUUGUCUAAGUCUACACCAUUCGAGUAAGUAAGUAAGAGAGUCCUCUUCUCCUGGUUUAACUAAGUUUAAAACACAAGACUAGGAUUACAACGCUCCAAACGCUAGUGUACAUACCAGCCCUGACGCACCCAGGCCGCUGGUUAACGAACGUAGAGAACGACAUACCACUACUACUGGCCGAGAACAAUUUAGGUUAUGCUGACGUGAAGAAGCGAAGUCCUUCUUCCAUAGGGGGGAUAUGCUUCUAAAGAUCGAACGGAUACACAACUAUUCACGUAAGCCGGUUUGUUAAACACCUGGUUUAUUUGAACAACGUCUAUGUCUUCUUGUUCCGACGUGUGUUCCUCAACGGACUUAACGUCACCGUCGCUACAACGUUAUACUUAGUUCGAACACUUCUUUUUAAAGCAAUGAAAUUACUGUGUGUGAACGUAAGGUGUAGGGUGUAGCUUGGAAGGUCUGAGUAGGUUCACUGGUAAACGUUGUAGGAAAAGGCCUGUUAGACCUAAUCAAGUUCCAAAAGUAGUGAGACCAGACGUGUUGUAAGUACCUUUAAUAUCAGAAGGUUUUAUAAGGACCUAGUGAACGUUUUUCCUUACAACACUUCUCAUCGCAAGGUAGUAGACCCCAGGUUGUUGGGUUUCCCUCGUAAAGACCCUCUAAACGACGUUUAUCGGAAGGACAACAGCAAGAGACCAAGCUUACGGGUGGAAACACCUCUAAGGAGUACGUGUAAAUCGACAGUCACCAUCUCAUUACUUACAACCACCUCCAGUUCGUAAAUCUUCACCUUACUUAUACCCGCCAUGGUAAGUUCCCAGUUACGACGUUCACCUUCUGAUUUACACGUUCCUAGGUUGUCCUACUACUUACCGGAAUAAGACGUUCCAUACGGACUACCUCGCUAACCCAACUACGACUACGACUAUAUGAAGGGAUUCAACGAGGUUAGCCCUUACGUCUAUAUGAAGGUACAAGAGAGCGACACCUAACCAUUUUUCUGAUUGAGAAUUAGUCCCGCGCGCUAAAACUACUUCCACUAUUUACGAAUGUAUACAACGUACGACUAAGUGCUGGUAGAUGCUCUGUCCCGCCCACCUUUCUAUGUAUAAUAAUCGUGCAAGCAAAGACCGGUCUAUUUUCUUCUGCCUCUUUCUCUGUAUCUGGGUAGUUUUAUAGCGGCGUAGCAUGUAGUACAAUUAUGAAUACAUGUUGUUCUAUACACGAUAAGUAAGGUUAAUUGUAACUCGCCUCAGUAACCAUAGACCGUCAGCAGUUACGGGUUUUUGUACUCUAAGUUCAUAACCUGAGCGAACCAAGAGCCUAGUUAGCCUCACUGGAAUGACAAUGCAAUGAUC